CAGCAGCAGCCACGGGAAUACGGAGGGUGCAAGCGUUGUCCGGAUUUAUUGGGUUUAAAGGGUGCGUAGGUGGGCGAAUAAGUCUGGUUUGAAAGCUGGUGGCUUAACCAUCAGAUGUGGCUGGAAACUGUUUGUCUUGAAUGGGUUGGCGGUAGCCGGAACGGGUCAUGUAGCGGUGAAAUGCAUAGAUAUGACCCAGAACACCGAUUGCGAAGGCAGGCUACUACGACUUGAUUGACACUGAGGCACGAGAGCAUGGGUAGCGAACAGGAUUAGAUACCCCUGUAGUCCCUGUCUCUUAUAU
rnacentral:rRNA from 1 species